AGAGUUUGAUCCUGGCUCAGGACGAACGCUGGCGGCAGGCCUAACACAUGCAAGUCGAACGAGAAGCUGGCUUCGGUCAGUGGAGAGUGGCGCACGGGUGAGUAACGCGUGGGAAUUUGCCUUUCGGUACGGGAUAACGUCUGGAAACGGGCGCUAAUACCGUAUGAUGUCUACGGACCAAAGAUUUAUCGCCGAGAGAGGAGCCCGCGUAGGAUUAGGUAGUUGGUGGGGUAAUGGCUCACCAAGCCGACGAUCCUUAGCUGUUCUGAGAGGAAGAUCAGCCACACUGGGACUGAGACACGGCCCAGACUCCUACGGGAGGCAGCAGUGGGGAAUAUUGGACAAUGGGCGCAAGCCUGAUCCAGCCAUGCCGCGUGAGUGAAGAAGGCCCUAGGGUUGUAAAGCUCUUUCGCCAGGGAAGAUAAUGACGGUACCUGGUAAAGAAGUCCCGGCUAACUCCGUGCCAGCAGCCGCGGUAAUAC
rnacentral:rRNA from 1 species